UACGGAGGAUCCGAGCGUUAUCCGGAUUUAUUGGGUUUAAAGGGUGCGCAGGUUGUUUGAUAAGUCAGUGGUGAAAGUCUGUCGCUUAACGGUAGGAUUGCCAUUGAUACUGUUGGACUUGAAUAUGGAUGAGGUAGGCGGAAUGUGUAGUGUAGCGGUGAAAUGCAUAGAUACUACACAGAACACCGAUUGCGAAGGCAGCUUACUAAUCCAUCAUUGACGCUGAGGCACGAAAGCGUGGGGAUCAAACAGGA
rnacentral:rRNA from 1 species